rnacentral:tRNA from 1 species
GGGUUUAGCUCAGUGGUAGGGCAUGUGCUUAGCAUGCACGAGGUCCCAGGUUCAGUCCUGGGACAUCCA